AUUGAACGCUGGCGGCAGGCCUAACACAUGCAAGUCGAGCGGAUGAAGGGAGCUUGCUCCUGGAUUCAGCGGCGGACGGGUGAGUAAUGCCUAGGAAUCUGCCUGGUAGUGGGGGAUAACGUCCGGAAACGGGCGCUAAUACCGCAUACGUCCUGAGGGAGAAAGUGGGGGAUCUUCGGACCUCACGCUAUCAGAUGAGCCUAGGUCGGAUUAGCUAGUUGGUGGGGUAAAGGCCUACCAAGGCGACGAUCCGUAACUGGUCUGAGAGGAUGAUCAGUCAAACUGGAACUGAGACACGGUCCAGACUCCUACGGGAGGCAGCAGUGGGGAAUAUUGGACAAUGGGCGAAAGCCUGAUCCAGCAAUGCCGCGUGUGUGAAGAAGGUCUUCGGAUUGUAAAGCACUUUAAGUUGGGAGGAAGGGCAGUAAGUUAAUACCUUGCUGUUUUGACGUUACCAACAGAAUAAGCACCGGCUAACUUCGUG
rnacentral:rRNA from 1 species